GUUAAUGUCUCCGUGAGUUGCGUUAAAAACGAACACCAUAUGUUUGUGAAAAUGCUUAAAUGAAACGACGGACAUACUCGAGGAAUUUCUUCUGGAUUAUAAUCAUUCAUAUGUUCAUAGCAUGAUUCAAAUCAUGAUUGGUAAUUUCGAUUCACCCAUUUCAACCCUGUUUCUUAAGAUUUGCAUGUGUGGCCGAGAGUUACUACGAUUUUUCUUGUUUUGUUGUUCUAUAUUUUCAUGUGGGUCCUGGUGCC
rnacentral:lncRNA from 1 species